AUUGAACGCUGGCGGCAGGCUUAACACAUGCAAGUCGAGCGAGCGGCGGACGGGUGAGUAAUGUCUGGGAAACUGCCUGAUGGAGGGGGAUAACUACUGGAAACGGUAGCUAAUACCGCAUACCAUCAGAUGUGCCCAGAUGGGAUUAGCUGGUAGGUGGGGUAAUGGCUCACCUAGGCGACGAUCCCUAGCUGGUCUGAGAGGAUGACCAGCACAACUGGAACUGAGACACGGUCCAGACGCCUACGGGAGGUAGCAGUGGGGAAUAGUGCACAAUGGGCGCAAGCCUGAUGCAGCAAUGCCGCGUGUAUGAAGAAGGCCUUCGGGUUGUAAAGUACUUUCAGCGGGGAGGCGUUACUCGCAGAAGAAGCACCGGCUAACUCCGUGCCAGCCGCCGCGGGAAGAC
rnacentral:rRNA from 1 species